rnacentral:rRNA from 1 species
GUGACCCUAGGUUAGGCGGGAUCAUCUAUUGAGUUUGU